UUUCCGUAGGUGAACCUGCGGAAGGAUCAUUCAUAAUAAAGUGUUUUAUGGCACUUUUUAAAAAUCCAUAUCCACCUUGUGUGCAAUGUUAGAUCUCGUCAAUCUUGGCGAGAUUUUUAUACAUCAACUCACUUUUUAACUAAUUUGUCUGAAAAAUAUAAUGAAUACUUAAUUCAAAAUACAACUUUCAACAACGGAUCUCUUGGCUCUC
rnacentral:misc_RNA from 1 species